rnacentral:lncRNA from 1 species
AGGGUAAGAGGCAAAGAGCCACCAGGUCCCAGCUGAGGAAGCCCUGUGGUCAGCUCAGACAGGGAUGCGGACUGAAGCCGAAGCAGGUGUUAGUAACUGUCGUACCUACAGACGAGGAAACUGAGCCUCCAUGAAGUGAAGUGACUCACCCACAGUCACACAGCUAAUAUAUGCCAGAGCCCACAGCAGAACUCAGACGUACUGAGGCCAAGUUCAAUGCCAG